AGGACUUGCCAUGACAGGGCCUCCCUGCACUAAAAAGGCAGUCUCAUUAAGCGAAGAUGUUGCCACUGCUUACCGGGGAGUUGGUAUGAUGGCUCACGAACUCGGACAUGUGCUUGGGUCGCCACACGACGAUACACCUAGAUGUCCCUGGUCAGAAGGAUUUCUCAUGAGUUACGCGGAUGGAGGAACCAAAAAGUUUCGGCUUUCGGAUUGUAGUGAAGAAAAGAUACGAUCAUCUUUAAAGGAGAUGCCCCGAGAAUGCCCGAAAAUAGUGGCACACACAGACUACAUGUCCCGGUAUAAGUAUGUUCCUGGUCAAAAAGUGAGUGAGCAGCGCUACUGCAGGAAGCUAAUGAAAAAAUU
rnacentral:lncRNA from 1 species